GUGAAUCAUCAAAUUUUUGAACGCAAAUUGCACUCUCCUCGGAGAGUAUGCCUGUUUGAGGGUCAGCCUAUAAAAAUUGAAAUUGUUGCUGUUUUGAGGUGGCGUUCGUUGGAAAAUGGGUUCAUCUUAAUUCUUUGGUUUUAAGCCAACUAAAAUUUUUCUUUUUGUUUCAUGAACGUUUUUAAGAUUUUUUAUUUCUUUACUCUUUGGUAU
rnacentral:misc_RNA from 1 species